GAUGAACGCUGGCGGCGUGCCUAAUACAUGCAAGUCGAGCGAACAGACGAGGAGCUUGCUCCUCUGACGUUAGCGGCGGACGGGUGAGUAACACGUGGAUAACCUACCUAUAAGACUGGGAUAACUUCGGGAAACCGGAUCUAAUACCGGAUAAUAUAUUGAACCGCAUGGUUCAAUAGUGAAAUACGGUUUUGCUGUCACUUAUAGAUGGAUCCGCGCCUCAUUAGCUAGUUGGUAAGGUAACGGCUUAUCAAGGCAACGAUGCGUAGCCGACAUGAGAGGGUGAUCGGCCACACUGGAACUGAGACACGGUCCAGACUCCUACGGGAGGCAGCAGUAGGGAAUCUUCCGCAAUGGGCGAAAGCUUGACGGAGAAACGCCGCGUGAGUGAUGAAGGUCUUCGGAUCGUAAAACUCUGUUAUUAGGGAAGAACAAAUGUGUAAGUAACUAUGCACGUCUUGACGGUAACUAAUCAGAAAGCCACGGCUAACUACGUG
rnacentral:rRNA from 1 species